GACGAACGCUGGCGGCGUGCUUAACACAUGCAAGUCGAACGGAGUGGCGAACGGGUGAGUAACACGUGGGUGACCUGCCCUGCACUUCGGGAUAAGCCUGGGAAACUGGGUCUAAUACCGGAUAGUGUGGGAUGGGCGGGCGGCCUAUCAGCUUGUUGGUGGGGUAAUGGCCUACCAAGGCGGCGACGGGUAGCCGGCCUGAGAGGGUGGCAGGCCACAGUGGGCCUGAGACAGGGGCCAGACUCCUACGGGAGGCAUCAGUGGGGAAUAUUGCACAAUGGGCGGAAGCCGGAUGCAGCGACGCCGGGUGGGGGAUGUCGGCCUUCGGGUUGGAACCUCCUUUCAGCCAUGACGCGGUAGUGGCAGAAGAAGCACCGGCUAACUACGUGCCAGCAGCCGCGGUAAUAC
rnacentral:rRNA from 1 species